rnacentral:lncRNA from 1 species
CCGGCCCCUGGCCCGCCGGCGCCUCUGCCCCUCGCUGCAGGGCAGGGCCGACGCCAUCGCCGCCAACCUGCUGCAGAAGCACCUCCAGGGGCUCUGGGGGGUCCCCAACCCCACCGAGGAGUCCCUGGCCCRCCUGGUGCCGUGCCCUCCGCCGCUGCUCGUCCCCCUGGACCCGGGGAUGCCCUGGGUGUGCGGUGCAUGGGCAUCCUGUGCCCCGGCCCUGGGCUGGGCCAGGGUGCCGUGGUGCCCCGGGCUGCCGGUGCAGACCCACCUGCCCUGGUGCCCGCUGGCGCCCUCUUACGCACCGGCCACCUCCACCAGCGGCUGGCUCGCGGGGUCUUCCCUAGGCGCCGGGACAGUGGCCGGGGGCGGCGAGCCCCACAGCGGAGCCGAAGAUGAAGAUCUCCCCGCUGGAGUCAGCUCCUCCAUCCAGCGAGCACCAGGGAGCUGGGAUGGGUGGCUGCCCCCGGGCACGGAGGAGCCCCUGGGGCCGCCUGGUCCGAGCACAGCCGCCUCCAGCCCCGAGCUUCCCAGCCCUGAUGAGGCGGCAGGACCAGCCGUGCCAAAGGCGGACGUCACCCUUGAGGCCAAUUUUGCCGCCGCCCCAGGCUCACGCGUGGCCGAUGUCGAGGAUGGGAGCCGGCCCGAUGCCGCAGGGCCCGUUGGUGUGCCGAGGCUGGAGCUGAGCUGGGACGCCCACAGCAAGCUGUGGAUGCACACGGCAAGGAAGUGCCUGGAGACGCGGCUGCGAAUCCUCCCYGCCGUGGUGCGGCRGUCUCUGGAAACGUCRYGUCCGGCGCUGCCCCAGCUCCUGCCGGAGGGAGCCUGCCGUCCCGGCACGCGGCCGGAGCGCCUGGCAUGGCCCCAGCUCGGGGCGUCCGCGGGGGAGCAGCGGCCGCGCUCCCGCCCGGUGCCCGCRCACAUCGCGGUGCCCGAGGCCCUGUUCCUGCCCGAGGAGCAGCGCGAGGCCCUGGAGCUGCACGUCCGCGCCAAGCGGCUGCAGAGCCGCG